rnacentral:rRNA from 1 species
GACCCCCUACGGGGGGCAGCAGUAGGGAAUCUUCCACAAUGGACGAAAGUCUGAUGGAGCAACGCCGCGUGAGUGAAGAAGGGUUUCGGCUCGUAAAGCUCUGUUGGUGGGGAAGAAAGAUAGAGGUAGUAACUGGCCUUUAUUUGACGGUAAUUACUUAGAAAGUCACGGCUAACUACGUGCCAGCAGCCGCGGUAAUACGUAGGUGGCAAGCGUUGUCCGGGUUUAUUGGGCGUAAAGCGAGUGCAGGCGGGUCAAUAA